CUGUGUUGCGGCAGAUACUGGAGCCGUUAAUAGGCAAUGUUAGAAAAAUAAGAUUCUGGCUAUGAAACAAAAGACCGUUUUAGGUUGGAGAAGUAAAUAAUAGUAAGAAUAAGGACUUUUGCAAAAGCCAAGAGCCUUCAGAUGGUCGGAAUAAGUAGUGGAUGCUGAAAGAAUGAAUAAUGUCAUCAAACUGGCCUUUUGUCUGACGCGGUUACAGCUGUUUUUCUUGCCUACUUACAGGGUUUAUGACUUUAUUUUAAACCAAAUAAUUACAAUGGAAACACCCUCCAUAUUCCAGUCACGAACUUGCCAUUCAACAGAUAAUACUGUUCACCUUCAGCCAAGAGACUAAUUCUGUGAUACAUAAUGCAUCUUCCACCUUUCAGAAGAUCCGAGUUCUAGAAACCAGACAGAAGAGGGAGCUAUCCAUCUGGAAAUUAACUGAUCCUUUCAAAAAUAUGUCAAAUAAAUAUAGAAGGAAAUUCUAACACGACCAAGUCUUAGUCUAUUUGGUCUUGUAUUUUAUAGCAACAUUACAAAUUUUCCGGUGCAUUAAAAGCAAAAAAGAAAACUUCCAGUAAAGGCAAAAACAAUGAGCUAAAUUAACGAAGAGGCAAAAUAAAGGAACCAUUAGAAGUCCGGCUAAAAAUAGUCUCAGAUUUAUGGUUGAUUUCCCACAUUAUAGCAAAAUAUAGAACCAGAACACACCCCCAAAAAGCCAAAAUAAUAGACUGCUGCCAUACACAUCACUAAUAUUGCCUUCCUAUAGAUCCUGAUCAUAAAAAGGAACUCUGACUUUAAAAUUGGUAACAUCUGGAAAUGGCAAAAUAGAAAAACUGUUGGGCUGCAUCUGUCUUGAAAAUGCUAUGUAAUAAGAUUUACUUAAUAUAUUUGAAAGAGAAAAAAAAAAGUUUUGUUCCCCAAUUUGUUGCAACAUCUGAAAGUUCAUGAGGUUAUGACCCCUCUUUAAGAAAGCAUCUCCCACCACCUGCAAAUACCCCAGGAAAAGCAGUUGGAAACAAUAAAACACGUGCUAGUUAACGGUUACCAGGGAAACGGUUCUGGUUCACCAAUCUGAGCGCCUGCGCUUCCCAGUGGCUUUGUCUGAGGGAGACAUGCGCCAGCUGUUAGUGAAUAACCAUUGUUAUAGAUCAUCAGGAAAUCACAGUCAGCCUGCAACCCAGCCCCACUGGAAGUUUAUUCCUCAUAUUUGUUCAUCACCAGGGCAAUCCUCCACCUUUAAAACAUCCCCUUAGGCUGGGUUAACUAAAUAAUACCCUGCACCGGCAGGAACUUUUAAAGGGGGCAAAUUGCAAAAAGGUCUUUUUGCGCAGCAAAUAGAUUUCUAACUUCGAUCCCAACUGCGUCACCUUCCUGCCCCCUUCACUUUCCAGUGGCAAUUACAGGCCAGAUACCUGAAGUCAGUGCCCCUUUGGGUGCCGUCCUUCCUUGCCUUGGUAGGACACUCGUGCACAUAGGUAACCCUCUCCUAGAGCUUUCAGAGAUCAUUGGCUUAGUCUAUGCUACAGAGAGCCCUAUGAAUGUUAAAUGAAGGACUCAGCAAGGCAUUUGGGGCUGCCACCAGAUGAGGGUCUGAGAGGAGGACAAAACAAUGGGUCCCUGCCUCACCAACACACACAUUCCAAACAGAACAGCCUCCAGUUUUACCAAUUUUAUAUUUUAUGUUGUUUUAUAAAUUUAUAAAUGCAAAGAUUUUCUCUGAAACAAGAUCAUAUUGCCUUUUUAAUGUUUAAAAGUCAAUGAGCUCCAAACCCAAUUAUCAGACUCAACUUGAAAAAUAGAUUUUUAGACUUCCACGUUCCCAUUUGGCAUGCACAGAGCUUAGAAGUCACUGCUCCAUCCUAACAAUAAAAAGCUGAACAAACUGAAAAAAAUCAACAACUCUUCUUAGAUUUAUCAGAGAAGUGAACUCGUAGCACAAACCAAUGCCCCCCCAAAUUGGAGAGGCAGGUGAAUACAGAAAAAUCACAACUUACUACAGCAGAAACCUCCAUGUGGGGGAACCAGUACCACAGUAGGAAAACCUGAACUGCUAUUGAGGAAUUGUGGGAGGCUCAGUGUGGACAAGUCUGAGAAUUAAAAACUCCAGUAGGACUCAGUCAUAGAGGACCCCCAAACUUUUCUGAAAUUUACCUCCAGUUGCUCGACCAGGUCCUUAUGGUUUAUAUCGGAGAAAAACCUCCUUGUGCUUCCAAUAGGGGUAGGGGAAAAGGAACCAUUUUGAAAUACACCAGAGCAUUCUGUUCUUCUUAAUAAGGCCUGCCCUCAGAUGAAACUAUUUUACCAGAGCCUAACCUCUACUGGGGUUUUAUCAGACCUGGAUAAGACCCACUCUAGCUCCUUAUAGCUAUCCUUUUCCACCUAAGGUGGGAGAAUAGGGGUACUGAGAAGCACUGUUGAAGUUCACAGCCCAGCGGCACAGGCUCAUCAAAAAACUGAGACCUAAUCAUAGGACUAUAGAAUGCUUCUCCUCCCUCAACACCUUACCACAGUUUGCCACAGCUGCUUUUACCCAGUACAUUACGCCUACCUUUCAACAAAAAAAACAACAAGGCAUACUAGAAGGCAAAACACAAUUUGACAACACUACACAAACAUAAGAACCACCAAAGUCAGAAAUGUCAGAAUGUUGGAAUUAUCAGAUCAGGAAUUUUUUUAAAACUAUGAAAAGGGAUUUACUGGAAAAAGUAGACAACAUGCAAGAAUACAUGGUUAUUGUAAGCAGAGAGAUGACAGUUUUAAUAAAGAAUCUAGAAGACAUGCUGGAGUUCAAAAAACACUAACAGAAAUGAAGAAGCCCUUUUUUAAGUUAGUUGGUAGAGUGGACACAAUAGAUUAAUCUCUGAGUUUGAGGAUACGACAAUAGAAACUUUCAAAAUGGAAAAGCAGGGAGAAAAACAACUAAAAAAAAAAAGAAGUACAAAUGUCCAGUUAUAAUUAAGUCACAGGAACAAAAAGUAAUAUAGUCAAUAAUAUUUUAAUAACAUUGUACAGCGACAGAUGGUAACCACGCUUACCAUGACAAGCAUUGCAUAAUAUAUAGAAUUGUCAAAUCACUGUGUUGUAUACCUGAAACUAGUAUAACAUUGUACAUCAAGUACAACAAUAAAAAAAAUUUUAAAAAGAACAGAAUAUUUAAGAACUGUGGGGUAAUUACAAAAGUUUAACAUAUGUGUAAUGGGAAUAUCAAAUAUAGAAGAAAAAUGGGAACAAAAGCAAUGUUUGAGGAAAUAAUGAUGGAGAAUUUCCCCAAAUUCAUCAGAAAUCAAGCCAUAGAUCCAGGAAGCUUAGAGAACACCAAGCAGGAUAAAUGCCAAAACAAAACAAAGCAAAAACAAACAAAAAACACCUACACCUAGGCACAUCAUAUUCAAAAUUCAGAAAAUCAACGACAAAUCUCAAAAAAACUCAGAAGAAAAAAUCACCUUACCUAUAAAGAAACAAGGGCAAUAAUUAUAUUAGUUUUAUCCUCAGAAAUCAUGUAAGCAAGAGGAGUGGAAUGAAUUUGUUUAAAGUGCAAAACAAAACAAAAACAAAAACAAAAACAAAACCCACCAACCUAGAAUUCUGUAAUUUGUGAAAUUAUCUUUCAAAAGUUAAAAAGAAAUAACAUUUUAUCAGACAAACAAAAAUUGAGGAAAUUUGUUGCCAGAAAAUCUGCUUUACAAAAGAUGUUAAAAUUUUUCAGAGAGGAAAUUGAUAUGAGCCAGAAACUUGGAUCUGAGCAUAGAAAAUGGGUAAGUGAAGGUAAAAUAAAAGCUGUUAUUUUUCCUAUUCUUCAUUGCUCUAACAGGUAACAGUUGUUCAAAAUAAUAAUAGCAACAACAUAUUAAAUUAUGUAUGUUUAUGUGUGAUAUAUCUAUACCUACAUAGAUACAUAUGCUUAUGUAUAAGGAAAAUGAAUUUAAACAAUGAUGCAAGGGAUAGUAUGGAGGAAUUAGGAAUAUUUUGUUAUUAUAAAGUACUUACACUACCUGAGAAAUGGCAUAUUGUUAUUUGAAAGUGGACUUGGGUUAGUUAUAUGUUGCAGAUUCUAGGGAAAUGAUGAAGAAAAGUUUUUAAGAAGUAUAACUGAUAUGCUAAGAAAGGAGAGAAAAUGGAGUCAUAUAAAAUGCUCUAUUAAAACUAUGAAAGGCAGAAGUAUGGAAGACAAAAAUAGGGACAAUGAACAAGGGCAACAAAUAAAAAACUAUAGCAAAUAUGGUAAACAUUUCUCCAACUACCUCAAUAAUCAUUUAAAAUGUGAAUGGUCUAGGGGC